rnacentral:rRNA from 1 species
CAAGUCGAACGGGAGAAUUGCUAGCUUGCUAAUAAUUCUCUAGUGGCGCACGGGUGAGUAACACGUGAGUAACCUGCCCCCAAGAGUGGGAUAGCCCCGGGAAACUGGGAUUAAUACCGCAUAAAAUCGCAAGAUUAAAGCAGCAAUGCGCUUGGGGAUGGGCUCGCGUCCUAUUAGUUAGUUGGUGAGGUAACGGCUCACCAAGGCGAUGACGGGUAGCCGGUCUGAGAGGAUGUCCGGCCACACUGGAACUGAGACACGGUCCAGACACCUACGGGUGGCAGCAGUCGAGAAUCAUUCACAAUGGGGGAAACCCUGAUGGUGCGACGCCGCGUGGGGGAAUGAAGGUCUUCGGAUUGUAAACCCCUGUCAUGUGGGAGCAAAUUAAAAAGAUAGUACCACAAGAGGAAGAGACGGCUAACUCUGUGCCAGCAGCCGCGGUAAUACAGAGGUCUCAAGCGUUGUUCGGAAUCACUGGGCGUAAAGCGUGCGUAGGCGGUUUCGUAAGUCGUGUGUGAAAGGCGGGGGCUCAACCCCCGGACUGCACAUGAUACUGCGAGACUAGAGUAAUGGAGGGGGAACCGGAAUUCUCGGUGUAGCAGUGAAAUGCGUAGAUAUCGAGAGGAACACUCGUGGCGAAGGCGGGUUCCUGGACAUUAACUGACGCUGAGGCACGAAGGCCAGGGGAGCGAAAGGGAUUAGAUACCCCUGUAGUCCUGG